GGGGACGGCUCCAUCCUCCGCUCCGCGGCGGGGUCCAUCCCCGCCGGGCUCCCCGCCGGCAGCGGCUCCAGGAGCUCGGCGCAGCGGCUGGGGGAGGCAGCCGGGCUGGCGGGGCUGGAGCGCGGCGGCCCGGGCAGCAUUUCCUGGCAGCCGGCGAGGGGCCAGGAGGAGCGGAGCGCCCGCGGUGCCUCGCUGCGUGCAGCCGAGGAAUCGCCUCUCCAAUGUGCCCCAGCUCACCUGGUCGUCCCUCUCUGGAGUCAGUAGGAAAUUAAAUGCACAUCCUCGAUCGUAGCCUCCGCGCGUCCUUCUUCGGGCUGCCCUCAGUUGGCCGGCGCCGCUCCCCCCAUCCUCAGGUACUUCUCCAUUUCUGCAAACGACGGAGAAGCAGCGUUAAUGUCUCGGAGCGCAGCCGUCUCCAUGUGUGCGUAGGAAUGCACAUGUAGAUGAGGUUAUACCCUGCCACGCACACCUACCGCUGCGGCUGUUUCCUGAGAGACUGCGAGAGAGAAGAAAGGCAGGAGACAUCACAUGACCAGAACCUUGGGAGGUUCAAGUAAAUUUUCUACUUGUCGGGAUUUUCGCUCGACCGCAUUGGGACGGUUUGCUUUUUGAUCUGAGAUGAGAAAAGGAAAACUGAAUAUUGCUAUGCGUACAAGGUUGUUUUCAGGAUGGUAUGGUUUUUAGAUAAAGUAGAAGUCACACAGUUCAAAGCACUUAAGCUGAAUACUUCAUGCUUAUUUCUCAGAAUUUGGUGUAACAUCCAAGUGUAACAUUAACUAAGCGUCUCAACAAUGAUUAUUAGUUUGGUCAGUUGGCUGGGAUCAGUGAUUUGAUCUGAAGCACUAGUUGGGUGAGAAUUACCUUCUAACAGAAGCAGAUUCUUUCUUGCCUUACAUACAUGAUCAGAGGCUAACCUAAAUGUAGGGUCUUUGCUGGAGGAUGUGAUGAGGAGAUAGGAAGAGGUUUUUCCCUCUAGACAAAAGCCUGAGUACAUUCUUUGUACUCUAUAUACUUGCAGAAUAAUAUCAGUAGGUAAGGCCUUGAGGUCACACUGAGUGAAUUGUCUAGGUGGUCUGUCAAGAUGCCGCACUAGAACUGUCCUUGUGCAAGUUUUUCAGUGAAGGAUGCUGUGAGAAGGUCAGUUGCCUUCAUUGUCAUCUUGCAAGUAUGGUUUCUAUGGGAUUAGCAGUUCAUCUAAUACUCUCUUGUAAUGUACAACUCAGAGAUACAAAAUAAAUCUGAGUUUCAUAAAGGUAGCAUUUGACACUUAAAGCCUCAGUAGACCAAGACACCCUGACAAAGUGAGACUGUUACUCAUGGGAAUGAGAUAACAAAGUAUCCACUUUGUAGACACAGCAUGAAAUUAGUUCCAUGCAAAUCAUUGCACUAUUACAUCUUUUCAAAUUUCCUCUCUGCCAUAAAAUCCCAUUUACAGAAAAAAAAAAAAAAAGAAAAAAAGAAAACAACCACACAAACCUCUAUGCUUUUAAGGACAUCUAAACAGAACAAGAAGAUGACUUUAGGUAUUUUAUAAAUGCUCAUCAAAUGGAAGAGGAAUAUCCCUUUGAAUAGCAGUUGGUUGGAAUAGAAUACAGAGAAGAAGAAGAUCUUCAAUAAAAGUAAAUCUAAGAGGGAAGGGUGUACACAGUAUGUGUGACAGUUCUGGGUACAGCUCUCUCAGGGUGUAAAGGCUCCAACAAGGGAAAAGGAAACAGGAAAUUCAAGGAAAAUGUCAGAGUGGCAGUGGAGUACUGAGGAAUGUCCAUGUCACUAAGGUGAAAUGUUUUCUGGAAAGCAGCUAAGAACAGGGCAAAAUAUAAAAUACAGGGACAGUGGGAGGCACCACUGUAAGAAAUAGCUAAAAGGAGACAGGUGCUGGAAAACCCUUGCUAUUCUGUCAUUUAAAAAUGCAUGGCAUGCCUUAUAAUGGUUGUUUAUCCUUUGAUUACUGGCUGAAUUUCAAUUCUAAUAAAUUACAUCCUGCCUAUAA